rnacentral:rRNA from 1 species
AGCCUGAGAUCUGAUGGGUAGACGCAAGUCGAAAUCGGUGAUCCUAUGCUGCCAAGAAAAGCAUCGACGCGAGGUUCUAGCUGCCCGUACCCCAAACCGACUCAGGUGGUCAGGUAGAGAAUACUAAGGAGAUCGAGAGAAUCGUGGUUAAGGAACUCGGCAAAAUGCCCCCGUAACUUCGGGAGAAGGGGGGCCUGAGGCGUGAACGGACUUGCUCCGGGAGCGUUCGAUGGCCGCAGAGACCAGUGGGAAGCGACUGUUUACUAAAAACACAGGUCCGUGCUAAGUCGCAAGACGAUGUAUACGGACUGACGCCUGCCCGGUGCUGGAAGGUUAAGAGGAACGGUUAGCCGCAAGGCGAAGCUGAGAAUUUAAGCCCCAGUAAACGGCGGUGGUAACUAUAACCAUCCUAAGGUAGCGAAAUUCCUUGUCGGGUAAGUUCCGACCUGCACGAAUGGCGUAACGACUUCCCAGCUGUCUCAACCGCGAACUCGGCGAAAUUGCAUUACGAGUAAAGAUGCUCGUUACGCGCAGCAGGACGGAAAGACCCCGUGACCUUUACUAUAGUUUGGUAUUGGUGUUCGGUGUGGCUUGUGUAGGAUAGGUGGGAGACGUUGAAGUGGGCACGCUAGUGUUCGUGGAGUCAUUGUUGAAAUACCACUCUGGUCACUCUGGAUAUCUAACUUCGGACCCUAAUCGGGUUCAGGGACAGUGCCUGAUGGGUAGUUUAACUGGGGCGGUUGCCUCCCAAAGAGUAACGGAGGCGCCCAAAGGUUCCCUCAACCUGGUUGGCAAUCAGGUGGCGAGUGUAAGUGCACAAGGGAGCUUGACUGUGAGACUGACAAGUCGAGCAGGGACGAAAGUCGGGACUAGUGAUCCGGCAGUGGCUUGUGGAAGCGCUGUCGCUCAACGGAUAAAAGGUACCUCGGGGAUAACAGGCUGAUCUUGCCCAAGAGUCCAUAUCGACGGCAUGGUUUGGCACCUCGAUGUCGGCUCGUCGCAUCCUGGGGCUGGAGUAGGUCCCAAGGGUUGGGCUGUUCGCCCAUUAAAGCGGUACGCGAGCUGGGUUUAGAACGUCGUGAGACAGUUCGGUCCCUAUCCGCUGCGCGCGCAGGAAAUUUGAGAAGAUCUAUCCCUAGUACGAGAGGACCGGGAUGGACGAACCUCUGGUGUGUCAGUUGUUCCGCCAGGAGCACCGCUGAUUAGCUACGUUCGGAACGGAUAACCGCUGAAAGCAUCUAAGCGGGAAGCCGGCUUCGAGAUGAGAUUUCCAUCCCUUCGGGGGAGAGGCUCCCAGCCAGACGACUGGGUUGAUAGGCCGGAUGUGGAAGACAGGACUAAAGACUGUCGGAGCUGACCGGUACUAAUAAGCCGAUAACUUGAUAA